rnacentral:piRNA from 1 species
UGCUUCAUUUUUGUUGUUGUUGUUUCUGC